rnacentral:lncRNA from 10 species
AACUAGAACAAUGCACAAUGUGUCUUUGGAUUCCUCCCACAAAGAAACCAGGACUGUGGGAUGGGAAGAAGUGAUCGCCUCUUCGGCCCAGAUUCCAGGUAAAUACGUUCUUCCAUUUCAAAAGGCUCCCUCACUGGUCCUGGAGAGGGGAAGUAGAGCUGCUCGCCCACUUGGGCUAGCGAUGGAGCUUAUGAAUUCGGAGUUUUCAUUCCACCUGGAUCUAGGAAGUCUUUUUUAAGAGUCUACUGCGCCAGAUAAUCUCUGUUCCCCACAAGCCAUUCUCUUCUGUGCCUCUAAAGGAUAAAGAUCUAUUUGUCUCUGUGUGUAUGUUACAAAAAAUGAAUGGGGAUUUAAUUACAGCAGCUCAUUUCCUAAAAGGAAGUCCUAUUUACGAUGCACCAUAUGUUUUGCCAGCGGCCGUACCCCUGAGGGCUGGAGUCUUGUCAGAUCUCCUUAGAUAAGCAGGGUUGGGCUGCUUUGGCCUGGACUGGGCCAGGGACCUGGGAGGACAGGCAGAAGGAUCCAGGAAGUGAGGAGGGGGACAAAGGUAGGUUUCCAGCCACACCCCGAGCCCAGACCACUGGAGAGCAUCAGUCAGCAACCAGGGAAGGCCUCCCUUGCUUCAGAGAAGGUGGAUUCAGAGGCUCAGACAAUUUGUGAUGAUUAAAAUCGCCUGGCUUUUUUCAUCUACUAAAGUGGCUCUUGAGGGGGAGAGAGUCUCUCUGAUCCUUCCUUUCGUGGUUUUAAUUCCCCCUCUGCCACUUCUGAGCCGGUGCAGAUGGCUUCCUGGAGUUCUGAGAACCUUCUAGCAAGGGAUGCCGGGCAGGCAAGGGGAGCAGGGAGCUGAGGAGGGGGCUUGGCUCAGUUCUAGUACUCACUCCUUCUUUUAAUUGUCUACUAUGUUUUCUCUUUCAUGGGGCCUACGAUUUUAGAGGCCAGGAAGCUGAGGAAGGGCUGUUCAGUACUUCUUAGCUGUAGUUGAAUGCAGUUGCUGGAACCUGCUAGUAUUUGACACAGCUUAGGAGAUUUAUCUCAGUCUUACCUUUUCUCUUCUUCCUUUCCAACGUGUUCUGAUUCUCUUGCCUCCUCUCUCUGUCUCGCUUUUUAAACUCCAUCCCCAGAAAAGUGGUGAACGCCUUCUCCCCGCAUGCUGCUUGGAGUGUAGACUGUGAAUUUCCCGUGCCAGCUACAAUGUCACUGGCUAUGAUCUCCAGUGGUGGAGGUGGACACCAGAACCUUAGAGUGUCCCUUCCAGCUCCUACACUCCAUCAGGUCAAUCAGCAGGCAGUCCAUUUUUUUCUGCUAAAAGGGUCUGGCCACCUGUGGAGGA